AUGUGCUUUCUAGGUUAUUCAUAUGGUUUCUUUAUAAUGGACCUAUUGGUGAUCUCUCAAACUGGAAAAUAUGGACUUGCACUGUACUCUGUAUCGAGUUCCUGCAGCUGGACAAGAGGAAGGGAUGCUUCAAUUUAUGCCUUCCAGUUCACUUGCGUGGGUAACUUGAUACUGAGGAUCAGGCAUGCCAGUGCAGCUGGGUGUCCAAACGACUUGUUAUCUUUCGAUUGGAAAAAUGUAUUCUGCACAUUCUACCUUCAUUUCUCGAGCAGCUCUGUUUCUACAAAAAGGUUACCUUUAUUGCUUUAUUUAUUAAUUGCUCGUUCUCGGAUUUUAUCAGGACAUCACAAUACUAUUAGUUACCUACAGAACUUCCACCCUGAUGAUGAUGGUCCUUUUGGUAUACCUGCCAAAGCUUGGAAACUUCUAUAG
rnacentral:rRNA from 1 species